AUUGAACGCUGGCGGCAUGCCCUACACAUGCAAGUCGAACGGCAGCACGGGUGCUUGCACCUGGUGGCGAGUGGCGAACGGGUGAGUAUUACAUCGGAACGUACCUUAUCGUGGGGGAUAACGCAGCGAAAGCUGUGCUAAUACCGCAUACGCCCUGAGGGGGAAAGCGGGGGAUCGCAAGACCUCGCGCGAUUAGAGCGGCCGAUGCCUGAUUAGCUUGUUGGUGGGGUAAAAGCCCACCAAGGCGACGAUCAGUAGAUGGUCUGAGAGGACGAUCAGCCACACUGGGACUGAGGCACGGCCCAGACUCCUACGGGAGGCAGCAGUGGGGAAUUUUGGACAAUGGGGGCAACCCCGAUCCAGCAAUGCCGCGUGAGUGAAGAAGGCCUUCGGGUUGUAAGCUCUUUUGUCAGGGAAGAAACACCGGCUCUAACACAGUCCGCGAAUGACGGUACCUGAAGAAUAAGCACCGGCUAACUACGUGCCAGCCGCCGCAGUAA
rnacentral:rRNA from 1 species